rnacentral:rRNA from 1 species
GCGGAGGAUCAUUACAGAGAAUGUGCCCUUCGGGGUGUAUCUCCCACCCUUUGUUUACAAUACCUUUGUUGCUUUGGCAGGCCUGUCUAAUGACUACUGGCUUUUGCUGGUUAGUGCCUGCCAGAGGACCUCAACACUCAUAAUUUUGUUGUCUGAGUACUUGCAUAAUAGUUAAAAACUUUCAACAACGGAUCUCUUGGUUCUGGCAUCGAUGAAGAACGCAGCGAAAUGCGAUAAGUAAUGUGAAUUGCAGAAUUCAGUGAAUCAUCGAAUCUUUGAACGCACAUUGCGCCCGCCAGUAUUCUGGCGGGCAUGCCUGUUCGAGCGUCAUUUCAACCCUCAAGCCCCCGGGCUUGGUGUUGGAGAUCGGCGUGCCCCCCGGGGCGCGCCGGCUCCCAAAUAUAGUGGCGGUCUCGCUGUAGCUUCCUCUGCGUAGUAGCACACCUCGCACUGGAAAACAGCGUGGCCACGCCGUUAAACCCCCCACUUCUGAAAGGUUGACCUCGGAUCAGGUAGGAAUACCCGCUGAACUUAA